AAAAUACAACUCCAUUAUGAUAAGUGGUGGUGUGUUUGUACAGUAUAGGUCGGGAUUGAUCCAUCUGCCCCAAAUUCUGAAGUCGGAUAUCAGGCUUUGUUUGCCGCUGCCGAUGUUUACUUCUGGGUUUGAGCUCCAGAUUUCCCUGUCUUCCUGAAACGCACAGUUGUGAUUGGCCUGAAUACCUCUGACUUCAGCAGGAAGUGUGACACUCCUUACCAUGUUUGAAAGAUUUGGUCAGAACAGGAGUUAUCUUACAGGCUGAGUCUGAAGCGGGAGGAAUUAUGAUAAUGUCGGUCUUGUCUACAUCACCAAUCCCAGAAAGUGCACUGUUGCCUACAAUCCAUGUAUUUGUCGUAGUCCAAGAAAAGAGAUUUACGUUGGAGACGAUAACUCGCGUCAUUGUUUACUUUAGGGUAGUGUGAGCAAUGCUGCGCCUCGCAGGAAUUAUUUCAACUCUUUUAUCAAACAGACAGAAGACUGAGAAAACAGUGUUGUCCUUGAAGCUACAGAAUUAUAUUGGAUAUUCAAGAGCUUGCAUGCAGA